AGUGGCGGACGGGUGAGUAACGCGUGAGAAUCUACCUUCAGGACGGGGACAACAGCUGGAAACGGCUGCUAAUACCCGAUAUGCCGAAAGGUGAAAAGUUUUUUCGCCUGGAGAGGAGCUCGCGUCCGAUUAGCUAGUUGGUGAGGUAAAAGCUUACCAAGGCGACGAUCGGUAGCUGGUCUGAGAGGAUGAGCAGCCACACUGGAACUGAGACACGGUCCAGACUCCUACGGGAGGCAGCAGUGGGGAAUUUUCCGCAAUGGGCGAAAGCCUGACGGAGCAACGCCGCGUGGGGGAAGAAGGUUUUUGGAUUGUAAACCCCUUUUCUCAAGGAAGAACAAAAUGACGGUACUUGAGGAAUCAGCCUCGGCUAACUCCGUGCCAGCAGCCGCGGUAAUACGGAGGAGGCAAGCGUUAUCCGGAAUUAUUGGGCGUAAAGCGUUCGUAGGCGGCUGUUCAAGUCUGCUGUCAAAGACCGAGGCUCAACCUCGGGUAGGCAGUGGAAACUGGAUAGCUAGAGGUCGGUAGGGGCAGAGGGAAUUCCCAGUGUAGCGGUGAAAUGCGUAUAUAUUGGGAAGAACACCGGUGGCGAAAGCGCUCUGCUGGGCCGAACCUGACGCUGAGGGACGAAAGCUAGGGGAGCGAAUGGGAUUAGAUACCCC
rnacentral:rRNA from 1 species